CCCUUAGACGUUCUGGGCCGCACGCGCGCUACACUGACGAAGGCAACGAGCUUUCCUUUACCGAAAGGUACGGGUAAUCUUUUGAAACUUCGUCGUGCUGGGGAUAGAUCCUUGCAAUUUUUGAUCUUAAACGAGGAAUGCCUAGUAAGCGCAAGUCAUCAACCUGCGUUGAUUACGUCCCUGCCCUUUGUACACACCGCCCGUCGCUACUACCGAUUGAAUGGUUUAGUGAGGCCUUCGGAUCCGCGACUCGUUUGUGGAGAAGUUGGACAAACUCAGUCAUUUAGAGGAAGUAAAAGUCGUAACA
rnacentral:rRNA from 1 species